rnacentral:rRNA from 1 species
GCAGCGACGCCGCGUGGAGGAUGACGGUCUUCGGAUUGUAAACUCCUGUUAAACGGGAAGAAAGACUUGUUUCUAAUACAGACAAGUUAUGACGGUACCGUUAGAGAAAGCACCGGCUAACUUCGUGCCAGCAGCCGCGGUAAUACGAGGGGUGCAAGCGUUAUCCGGAUUCACUGGGUUUAAAGGGUGCGUAGGCGGGCAGGUAAGUCGGUGGUGAAAUCCUGGAGCUUAACUCCAGAACUGCCAUUGAUACUAUCUGUCUUGAAUAUUGUGGAGGUAAGCGGAAUAUGUCAUGUAGCGGUGAAAUGCUUAGAUAUGACAUAGAACACCUAUUGCGAAGGCAGCUUACUACGCACAUAUUGACGCUGAGGCACGAAAGCGUGGGGAUCAAACAGGAUUAGAUACCCGAGUAGUCCAAGCCG